GGUUAAGCGACUAAGCGUACACGGUGGAUGCCCUGGCAGUCAGAGGCGAUGAAGGGCGUGCUAAUCUGCGAUAAGCGCCGGUAAGGUGAUAUGAACCGUUAUAACCGGCGAUACCCGAAUGGGGAAACCCAGUGUGACUCGUCACACUAUCAUUAACUGAAUCCAUAGGUUAAUGAGGCGAACCGGGGGAACUGAAACAUCUAAGUACCCCGAGGAAAAGAAAUCAACCGAGAUUCCCCCAGUAGCGGCGAGCGAACGGGGAGGAGCCCAGAGCCUGAAUCAGCAUGUGUGUUAGUGGAAGCGUCUGGAAAGGCGCGCGAUACAGGGUGACAGCCCCGUACACAAAAGCGCAUGUGCUGUGAGCUCGAUGAGUAGGGCGGGACACGUGGUAUCCUGUCUGAAUAUGGGGGGACCAUCCUCCAAGGCUAAAUACUCCUGACUGACCGAUAGUGAACCAGUACCGUGAGGGAAAGGCGAAAAGAACCCCGGCGAGGGGAGUGAAAAAGAACCUGAAACCGUGUACGUACAAGCAGUGGGAGCACCCUUUGGGGUGUGACUGCGUACCUUUUGUAUAAUGGGUCAGCGACUUAUAUUCUGUAGCAAGGUUAACCGAAUAGGGGAGCCGCAGGGAAACCGAGUCUUAAUUGGGCGUUAAGUUGCAGGGUAUAGACCCGAAACCCGGUGAUCUAGCCAUGGGCAGGUUGAAGGUUGGGUAACACUAACUGGAGGACCGAACCGACUAAUGUUGAAAAAUUAGCGGAUGACCUGUGGCUGGGGGUGAAAGGCCAAUCAAACCGGGAGAUAGCUGGUUCUCCCCGAAAGCUAUUUAGGUAGCGCCUCGUGAAUUCAUCUCCGGGGGUAGAGCACUGUUUCGGCUAGGGGGCCAUCCCGGCUUACCAACCCGAUGCAAACUGCGAAUACCGGAGAAUGUUAUCACGGGAGACACACGGCGGGUGCUAACGUCCGUCGUGAAGAGGGAAACAACCCAGACCGCCAGCUAAGGUCCCAAAGUCAUGGUUAAGUGGGAAACGAUGUGGGAAGGCCCAGACAGCCAGGAUGUUGGCUUAGAAGCAGCCAUCAUUUAAAGAAAGCGUAAUAGCUCACUGGUCGAGUCGGCCUGCGCGGAAGAUGUAACGGGGCUAAACCAUGCACCGAAGCUGCGGCAGCGACGCUUAUGCGUUGUUGGGUAGGGGAGCGUUCUGUAAGCCUGCGAAGGUGGCCUGUGAGGGUUGCUGGAGGUAUCAGAAGUGCGAAUGCUGACAUAAGUAACGAUAAAGCGGGUGAAAAGCCCGCUCGCCGGAAGACCAAGGGUUCCUGUCCAACGUUAAUCGGGGCAGGGUGAGUCGACCCCUAAGGCGAGGCCGAAAGGCGUAGUCGAUGGGAAACGGGUUAAUAUUCCCGUACUUGGUGUUACUGCGAAGGGGGGACGGAGAAGGCUAUGUUGGCCGGGCGACGGUUGUCCCGGUUUAAGCGUGUAGGUGUGUGUUCCAGGUAAAUCCGGUUCACUUUAACACUGAGGCGUGAUGACGAGGCACUACGGUGCUGAAGCAACAAAUGCCCUGCUUCCAGGAAAAGCCUCUAAGCAUCAGGUAACAUCAAAUCGUACCCCAAACCGACACAGGUGGUCAGGUAGAGAAUACCAAGGCGCUUGAGAGAACUCGGGUGAAGGAACUAGGCAAAAUGGUGCCGUAACUUCGGGAGAAGGCACGCUGACACGUAGGUGAAGUGAUUUACUCAUGGAGCUGAAGUCAGUCGAAGAUACCAGCUGGCUGCAACUGUUUAUUAAAAACACAGCACUGUGCAAACACGAAAGUGGACGUAUACGGUGUGACGCCUGCCCGGUGCCGGAAGGUUAAUUGAUGGGGUCAGCGCAAGCGAAGCUCCUGAUCGAAGCCCCGGUAAACGGCGGCCGUAACUAUAACGGUCCUAAGGUAGCGAAAUUCCUUGUCGGGUAAGUUCCGACCUGCACGAAUGGCGUAAUGAUGGCCAGGCUGUCUCCACCCGAGACUCAGUGAAAUUGAACUCGCUGUGAAGAUGCAGUGUACCCGCGGCAAGACGGAAAGACCCCGUGAACCUUUACUAUAGCUUGACACUGAACAUUGAGCCUUGAUGUGUAGGAUAGGUGGGAGGCUUUGAAGUGUGGACGCCAGUCUGCAUGGAGCCGACCUUGAAAUACCACCCUUUAAUGUUUGAUGUUCUAACGUGGACCCGUAAUCCGGGUUGCGGACAGUGUCUGGUGGGUAGUUUGACUGGGGCGGUCUCCUCCUAAAGAGUAACGGAGGAGCACGAAGGUUGGCUAAUCCUGGUCGGACAUCAGGAGGUUAGUGCAAUGGCAUAAGCCAGCUUGACUGCGAGCGUGACGGCGCGAGCAGGUGCGAAAGCAGGUCAUAGUGAUCCGGUGGUUCUGAAUGGAAGGGCCAUCGCUCAACGGAUAAAAGGUACUCCGGGGAUAACAGGCUGAUACCGCCCAAGAGUUCAUAUCGACGGCGGUGUUUGGCACCUCGAUGUCGGCUCAUCACAUCCUGGGGCUGAAGUAGGUCCCAAGGGUAUGGCUGUUCGCCAUUUAAAGUGGUACGCGAGCUGGGUUUAGAACGUCGUGAGACAGUUCGGUCCCUAUCUGCCGUGGGCGCUGGAGAACUGAGGGGGGCUGCUCCUAGUACGAGAGGACCGGAGUGGACGCAUCACUGGUGUUCGGGUUGUCAUGCCAAUGGCACUGCCCGGUAGCUAAAUGCGGAAGAGAUAAGUGCUGAAAGCAUCUAAGCACGAAACUUGCCCCGAGAUGAGUUCUCCCUGAGACUUAGAGUCUCCUGAAGGAACGUUGAAGACGACGACGUUGAUAGGCCGGGUGUGUAAGCGCAGCGAUGCGUUGAGCUAACCGGUACUAAUGAACCGUGAGGCUUAACCUU
rnacentral:rRNA from 1 species